rnacentral:tRNA from 1 species
UCCCCGGUGGCUCAGACGGUAAAGCGUCUGCCUACAAUGCAGGAGACCUGGGUUUAAUCCCUGGGUUGGGAA